GUGGAUUAGAUACCCUGGUAGUCCACGCCGUAAACUAUGCGUGUUGGACGUUGGCGAGCCUAGCUCGUCGGUGUCGCAGCUAACGCGUUAAACACGCCGCCUGGGGAGUACGGCCGCAAGGUUAAAACUCAAAGGAAUUGACGGGGGCCCGCACAAGCGGUGGAGCAUGUGGUUUAAUUCGAUGCAACGCGCAGAACCUUACCAGGCCUUGACAUGGGGGUUAUGGGUCGGAGAAAUCUGACCCUUCAGUUCGGCUGGGCCCCACACAGGUGCUGCACGGCCGUCGUCAGCU
rnacentral:rRNA from 1 species